AUGAGCCUAAAUGUGAUGCAUCGUCCUUUACUUCUUGGAUGUCUAUUAAUUGAGUUACACAACUUCACUAUGUUUAUUAUCUUCAAAGGACUUCUGCUCUACAUCUUACCUUUCUUGAUUCUGCAAUGGAAGAUUUUCAUGAGGACUUAUCUUCUGGAAAGGCCACGUGUUUGUCAAAUAUCUAACCCAGAAAGGAAGCACCACUGCUUUUCCAUGUUGUGUGCUGCACCACCAGAAGUAAGAUCCUGUUCAGUAUACAUGGUCUUCUUCUUAAUUUUUUUGAUUGUAAAAACUGAAGAUAUUUGCAAAAACCUCAGGGCAUUCACACAUAAAGAGACAACUGCUACUAGUUGA
rnacentral:rRNA from 1 species